AUCCAUCAUUCAAAAGCCCGAAAUACUUUAAGUAACUUCAAUACAUAAUUAAAGUACUUCAAAUAUCUCACACUUACAAUUAUACAGCUUUCAAGCUUAAAUACAACCCAACGGAAAAGGGUACAAUAGCCAUCUGUUAUAAUAUAACGUAAAAUCUUCAAAAGAAAGCAAUCUAGUACUACUCACGAGUACCCUUGGUCUCGAACCCUGUAAAAGAAAACCACAACGUGGGAUGAGCUACACAGCCCAGUGAGGUUCCAAGACACUCUAAUGGACAGCUUCAUAUAACAUGUGAUUCAUGAUAAUCAAGUAAUCAAGUAGAUACUUAGCACGUAAGCACGUAAGCAAUACAAGUUGAUUUCAUGGGAGCAUGUAAUUCACGGAUAUCGAAUAGUCAUGUAGAUUGGAAAUCAUGUGAGCAAAUAGUCAAGUAAUCAAGUAGGUAAAGUACACAUUUGAGUAGGUUGAGUAGGUCGAGUGAGUAGGUCGAGUGAGAACAAGUGCGAUAAAGUACGCACUCGACUCCAUUUUUCAAAAUCGAGUAGGCUAAGUAAACAAUCUAGCAAGUUAAGCAUGUAUCGAGUUCAUAUGGUCAUUUGAUAUGGUUAAUCAUUUAACCAAUUCAUGUAGAUAUACAAUGCAAGUAUACAUUCGUUAAAUAGGCAUGAGUAUGGUAAAUACUUAACACAUAGCACUUAGCACUUAAUAAUCAUGAAAUAAGCGUGUCCUAGACUUAUUCAAUUACGUAUUCCUAUAUGGAACACUCACCUAGUCAAAACAAACGAGUAGUUUUCAAACAAGCGUUUAGGUGUCCGCUCCGAGUUCCUCUUGGAGAUUCCCUCGAGUGCCUGAGUAAACAAUAAUCAAGUACCACUCAAUAUCACUACGAAUAUCUAAUUAUCGAGGAAGAUUGUACGCUACUGCAAUCUAAGGAAAUCUUAUGAAAAUGAACCUCAAUUACUCGUAAAUCGAGGUUCAAGAGUAAAGUUUUAAAGUCUAAAGAGAGAGACUAACAUUUUCCAUGAAAUUGAGUUCAAAAUGUUCAAUCGGUAUCGAGAAAAGAAGGCAAGUUUCCAAAAUCUCAUUUUCUAAGAAAUUGACAAAUUUCAGCUUUGGGUGCCAAUUUAGAAAAAUCGUAUCUUGCACUAUGUAGGUCCAUAAUUAGAAAGUUUGAUACCGUUGGAAACUUCUUCAAAAGCACUAAAAGUUCCUAGAAGAUACUUUUCCAUGAUUCCAAAUGGAAAAUAUUCAAAAAUUGACUCAAAGUUGCUGCUUGGGACCAUUAUGACAGUUUCGGGGUUGGUUUUUGACCAACUUUGAAAAUCCAGCAAAAUUCACACAAUACGAACUAGCCUCCGAAAUUUAGAACUCAAUUAGAGCUACAAUCAAAGUUUAAAACAAAACAAACGGAACAAGAAUCAAAGUUUUGAGCGCCAAGAUAUAGCAGCUCAAAGUUGGCUAAAAUUUCCUCCUCGAUCAAGAAUUUCCAGAUUUAAACAUGAACUUUGGGACGUUGGUUGAAUACUGAAACGGACUUCGAAUGGCACCAAAUUUAGCAGUAUUACACUACCAUAUAGGGGUUAUUCCUCUGCAAAUUUUCAAGCAAAAUCUAGCACGAAGAGUCAAUUAACAAAACUGUUGAAGUUUUCAAGAAUUUCCAAGGCAAUCUGCCUCGUACCUUUGUUUUCCUUUUCUCAAACAUUUGGCCACUAAAAACCUCUCAAAUAUGGUUCAUUUGCGUAGAUAAUUCCUAAGAAACAUCAAAGCUGUAUUUGGUAGGUGAUUUAUACCAAGAAUUUCGAAUGACAAGUCCCAAGUCAAGAUUGGAUAAUCGGCUAAGAGAAAAGGAAAAGUUUUCCAGAUUCGAAGAGCAAUUUCGGGGCAUCAUUUGCAUAACAAAAUGGUCUUAGAAUAUCACCAAAUUUUGCACAAUUAAACCUCCAUAUGAGGACCACUCCUCUAUCAAAUUUCAUUUGAAAAUUAACAUGAGAAGGUAGUUAACUAAACCAUCAAAGUUCAAGAAAUUUCCCAAGGCAAAACUGUCUUCUAGCUCUUCUUUCUUUUUAAACAUUUUGUCCAAUGCAACCAACCCAAAUCUGGUUUAUUUGUAAAAAAAAGUCCAAGGAACAUCUAAUAUAAAGUUUGGAAGAUGUUGGACAUCAAAGUUUCCAAAACAACAAGUCCCAAAUCAAGCUAGGCCAUUCAACUAGUCAAAAGAGGAUUUUUACUCACUGCAUCAGUUUCGAAAUAUGGCCACAACUCACUCAAUUCAACUUGGAAUUGAGCAUGGUUGAUGGAGUUGGAAAGCUCUCUCAUAAAGCUGAAUUUUAUCAGAAGAAAUCAUUUUGAAAUUCUAUCCACAAACAGCUCGUUUUUGAGCAUCAAGAUACAAGUCCUGUCCUGUCUCCUCGAGAGAAAUGAAACAGGACAGUGAUUUUCAAUCGAAUGGUGUGGCUCACUCAAGUAGAACCAGAAUGUGAAUUUGGUACCGAUGGAAAUCUGGGAAUGUCUAGUUUCCAGUGCCGCAAACAGCACUUGAUUUCGACAUCGGAGUAAAGAGUUAUGGCCGAUACAAAAUGACUGCCUGGGCAAUACGGGAUUCAUUUUCCAGUUUUGCUAACUUUGGAAAUCAACUCAUUUGACCAACCAAAUCAUGUUAUUUUCAAUGAAAUUUUGUACACACUCACAAUAACAUGUAAAAAAUAUAAUCAAGUCAUUAGAACCUCAAAAUUGUGCACAAAAUGGUCGGACAAGGCAGGGGCAAAAUCGGAAACUUUUGCUUCUUACACCCAAUGAAGUUUCUAUCAAUUACACACCAUUAAUCCAUCAUUUUAACCACUAAACCAACAAUAUAUCCACCAUCAAUCAACAAAUCAGCAACAACCCAAGAGUGGGAGUUCAUAGAGCCCACUUUCACAUUUUAUACCAUAAACAAAACUACCCACAUGAUUAUAUAACCUUAUGUGUGCAAUAUAUCUUACAAAAACUAAGAUCUAUGGGUUGGAUGAUUUGCUACCUUCUUGGAUGACUAGAUCAGAAAUUUUGGUCACUCUUUGCUCCAGAAAACUGUGGCUUUUCAGCUCCCUUUUGCAGCUCAAAAUACUCCUCAAGUGUUAUACUAAGUGUGGGUGAAAUUUGAAGUUAAUUGGAAGAGGUUUGAUAAAGAUUUGAUGAAGGAAAAAUGAAGAACUUGGUCUUGUUUUUCCUUGGAGUUGCACGGCUGGAAUGAAGAAGGAAAAGAAGAG
rnacentral:lncRNA from 1 species